ACCCCACUAUAUGCCCCCAAGCAAAGCUCUAAGCACUAAGACAUUGUUGUUAAAACUUAAAUGCCAUGGCGGCGAGCUCAAAAAUCAGAGGAACCUACCAGAUAAAUGACAACCCACAAAAAAUUCUUACUUUUACUAAGAGCUUAUAUAUCGCCGUCUAGUGAUCUUUUCUGAAGGUCACGUACUGCAAAAAGACAGGCCAUGACAUAGCAUAUGUAAAAGACUUGAGGUGGGUUACAAUAAGAGAGACUUUCCGAAUCUUUUUAAAGAAAAAGAAGAAGAUGGAUUUGAAAGUAAGGCCCAAGAUAAUUAAUCCUUGAAUUUGCCUGAGCUCGUGUACACCCCG
rnacentral:rRNA from 1 species